CCCGAUGAACCUGAAUAUCCAUUAUGGAAAAUUCAUCAUUAGAAUUGUAAUAUUUUAAAAAUAUUAUAAUGAUAGUGUGCAUUUUUUCCAUAUAAGGACAUUGUAAUCUAUUAGCAUAUAAUUUAUCAUAAAAUUAUGCCAUUAGUUUAUUUCAAUUAAAGUGCUUGCAUUUUAACACAGAAUAAAAGGUAUAAAUUUGAUAAAGUGCUGAUAGAUUUAUAUGAUUACAGUGCGUUAAUUUUUCGGAAUUAUAUAAUGGCAUGAUUAUCAUUGAUUUUUGUGUUUAUUAUAUGCACUUGUAUGAUUAACAAUGCGAAAGAUUCAGGAUACUUCGGG
rnacentral:rRNA from 1 species